CAAUAAGCGGAGGAAAAGAAACCAACAGGGAUUGCCCUAGUAACGGCGAGUGAAGCGGCAACAGCUCAAAUUUGAAAUCUGGCUCUUUCAGGGUCCGAGUUGUAAUUUGCAGAGGGCGCUUUGGUGUUGGCAGCGGUCCAAGUUCCUUGGAACAGGACGUCACAGAGGGUGAGAAUCCCGUACGUGGUCGCUAGCCUUCGCCGUGUAAAGCCCCUUCGACGAGUCGAGUUGUUUGGGAAUGCAGCUCUAAAUGGGAGGUAAAUUUCUUCUAAAGCUAAAUACUGGCCAGAGACCGAUAGCGCACAAGUAGAGUGAUCGAAAGAUGAAAAGCACUUUGGAAAGAGAGUCAAAUAGCACGUGAAAUUGUUGAAAGGGAAGCGCUUGCAGCCAGACUUGCCUGUAGUUGCUUAUCCGGACUUUUGUCCGGUGCACUCUUCUGCGGGCAGGCCAGCAUCAGUUUGGGCGGUUGGAUAAAGGUCUCUGUCAUGUACCUCUCUUCGGGGAGAACUUAUAGGGGAGGCGACAUGCAACCAGCCUGGACUGAGGUCCGCGCAUCUGCUAGGAUGCUGGCGUAAUGGCUGUAAGCGGCCCGUCUUGAAACACGGACCAAGGAGUCUAACAUCUAUGCGAGUGUUUGGGUGUCAAGCCCAAGCGCGUAAUGAAAGUGAACGGAGGUGGGAACCCUUUGGGUGCACCAUCGACCGAUCCUGAUGUCUUCGGAUGGAUUUGAGUAAGAGCAUGGCUGUUGGGACCCGAAAGAUGGUGAACUAUGCUUGAAUAGGGUGAAGCCAGAGGAAACUCUGGUGGAGGCUCGCAGCGGUUCUGACGUGCAAAUC
rnacentral:rRNA from 1 species